GCAAGGAAAACGUGAACGGCAGGAUUCAAACCUGCGCGGGCAGAGCCCACAUGAUUUCUAGUCAUGCCCGAUAACCACUCCGGCACGUCCACGGCGAUGCGUUCACUUUUUUCAGGUCUUACUUGUGACGUCACUUCUCCGGUAACACAUCCAUAGCCGUCUCGGACUCGGAGUUGAGGAGGGAGAGAAGAAGAAUCUAACGGGAGGUCAGAUAUGGUGGUUUAGUUUUCAAUUUGCACUUCUCGAUGGCUUGGCAAUGAGAGGGAAUGGAUAUUAGAUUGUUACAACCAAAAGAAGCUUGUUGAUAUCGAUAGUUACUUGAUGCAUUCUGGAAAACCAUGGUGGACAGGCUACGUUACAUUUGAAACUAGUAGUGUUAAUGUCUUUAUAUGUAUCUUUCCUUUUUUCUUUUUUAUUUUUUUAAUCCAGAUACUUAAUGCUCUUAUAAAUCCCAUAUGAUGAAUAUUUUUAACAUACUUUACUUAUUCCUUGGAUUUACCCUGUCUGUCACUUCUUUGUUUAGCAAUUAAUGUUUAAGACCAAACAUAGCCAAACCCCACAACCUUCACCCCUCAUUUCCUUGGCAAAGGCCACUUAUCAUUUUUGCUUUUUCAUGCAUGACAUUGCUGUGAAUGUUGUAAAGACACGUGAAUUUCUAACUCUGACCUUUUUGUAAUGGAUUAUUUGAUUGCUAAUUGGUAUUAUCUAAAAUCUUAAAACAC